rnacentral:rRNA from 1 species
GAUGAACGCUAGCGGCAGGCCUAACACAUGCAAGUCGAGGGGUAACAUUGGAGCUUGCUUCAGAUGACGACCGGCGCACGGGUGCGUAACGCGUAUGCAACCUACCUUUUACAGGGAGAUAGCCCGAAGAAAUUCGGAUUAAUAUCCCAUAAUAUAUUUGUAUCGCAUGGUAUAGAUAUUAAAGUUCCGACGGUAAAAGAUGGGCAUGCGUGACAUUAGCUAGUUGGUGAGGUAACGGCUCACCAAGGCUACGAUGUCUAGGGGUUCUGAGAGGAUGAUCCCCCACACUGGUACUGAGACACGGACCAG